CAUCAUUUGGCUUGAGGACGUUGCUCUGCAAAGCGUGAGCCUGCCGCUGAGACUGCAUACAGGACUAGGAUAAAGGUGCAGAAGUUCUGUAAAUAACGUGGAAACAACUAACCUUCCAGACAUUCCGAUGGGUGGUUCUCAGGAACUCUUCAAUGAGCUCAGGACAGUCCAGAUUGUCCUCAGGUUCCCAUGUGUUUUCUGCACUAUGGCCGUGGAUGCUCGGAGGAAGUGGUUGCCAAGGGAAAAGGUCAUGCCAGGAAAACCGGGAGGAGACGACGGGGACGCGCACGCCGCCGACCAAUCAGAGAGCAGUCCGCUCGUCCGUCCCCGUCCAGUGGUCCGGAACAGCCCUGCCACCCAUGGGCGUCAGCUGGUUAUGACAGGGGACAGUGUGCACUUGGCGGAUCUCGCUGGAAUUAAAAAAAAACUGUUCCAGAUUUUUGAUUCUUUGAUCUUUUGGAUCGUUGUCAUUGGAAGCAAAUACGGAGCUGCAUGUGCAUUUGGAAGCUUAAUACUAGAGAAUAUAAAUAAAUAAAUAAAUAAAAGCUAAACAGAGUGUAAGCAGAUUCACGUAUGUCCAAAAACUAAACCAACAAACCAAAGCUAAACCUUAUCAGAAAUCUGCAUUUUGAAAUAUCAUUGAUAAAUUGCCGUUGUAAUUGUAAAAAAAAAUAUUAAAUGCAUGG